GGGGGAUUAGCUCAGUUGGGAGAGCGCCUGCUUUGCAAGCAGGAUGUCAGGGGUUCGAGUCCCCUAUCCUCCACCA
rnacentral:tRNA from 1 species